CAAGCUCUGCCUGACCAGAGGG
rnacentral:miRNA from 1 species